rnacentral:rRNA from 1 species
UACGGGGGGAGCAAGCGUUGUUCGGAUUUACUGGGCGUAAAGGGCGCGUAGGCAGUCAGCACAAGUCAGUUGUGAAAUCUCCGGGCUUAACUCGGAAAGGUCAACUGAUACUGUGCGACUAGAGUGCAGAAGGGGCAACUGGAAUUCUCGGUGUAGCGGUGAAAUGCGUAGAUAUCGAGAGGAACACCUGCGGCGAAGGCGGGUUGCUGGGCUGACACUGACGCUGAUGCGCGAAAGCCAGGGGAGCGAACGGG